rnacentral:tRNA from 1 species
GGGGGUUUAGCUCAGUGGCACAAGCACCUGCCUGGCGAGCAUUAGGUCAUGAGUUCGAUUCUCCAAAUCCUCC